rnacentral:ribozyme from 1 species
GCCCCACGAUAGGUGUCACCUCCACGUGGUGUGGGGUGGGCAACUCACCCAAUAUGGGUAAGGCUAAGAACACC